rnacentral:rRNA from 1 species
UACCAGCACCCCGAGUGGUCGGGACGAUUAUUGGGCCUAAAGCAUCCGUAGCCGGUUCUACAAGUCUUCCGUUAAAUCCACCUGCUUAACAGAUGGGCUGCGGAGGAUACUAUAGAGCUAGGAGGCGGGAGAGGCAAGCGGUACUUAGUGGGUAGGGGUAAAAUCCGUUGAUCCAUUGAAGAUCACCAGUGGCGAAGGCGGCUUGCCAGAACGCACUCGACGGUGAGGGAUGAAAGCUGGGGGAGCAAACCGG